rnacentral:rRNA from 1 species
AGCCCAGAGCCUGAAUCAGUGUGUGUGUUAGUGGAAGCGUCUGGAAAGGCGCGCGAUACAGGGUGACAGCCCCGUACACAAAAAUGCACAUACUGUGAGCUCGAUGAGUAGGGCGGGACACGUGGUAUCCUGUCUGAAUAUGGGGGGACCAUCCUCCAAGGCUAAAUACUCCUGACUGACCGAUAGUGAACCAGUACCGUGAGGGAAAGGCGAAAAGAACCCCGGCGAGGGGAGUGAAAAAGAACCUGAAACCGUGUACGUACAAGCAGUGGGAGCACGCUUCGGCGUGUGACUGCGUACCUUUUGUAUAAUGGGUCAGCGACUUAUAUUCUGUAGCAAGGUUAACCGAAUAGGGGAGCCGAAGGGAAACCGAGUCUUAACUGGGCGUUAAGUUGCAGGGUAUAGACCCGAAACCCGGUGAUCUAGCCAUGGGCAGGUUGAAGGUUGGGUAACACUAACUGGAGGACCGAACCGACUAAUGUUGAAAAAUUAGCGGAUGACUUGUGGCUGGGGGUGAAAGGCCAAUCAAACCGGGAGAUAGCUGGUUCUCCCCGAAAGCUAUUUAGGUAGCGCCUCGUGAAUUCAUCUCCGGGGGUAGAGCACUGUUUCGGCAAGGGGGUCAUCCCGACUUACCAACCCGAUGCAAACUGCGAAUACCGGAGAAUGUUAUCACGGGAGACACACGGCGGGUGCUAACGUCCGUCGUGAAGAGGGAAACAACCCAGACCGCCAGCUAAGGUCCCAAAGUCAUGGUUAAGUGGGAAACGAUGUGGGAAGGCCCAGACAGCCAGGAUGUUGGCUUAGAAGCAGCCAUCAUUUAAAGAAAGCGUAAUAGCUCACUGGUCGAGUCGGCCUGCGCGGAAGAUGUAACGGGGCUAAACCAUGCACCGAAGCUGCGGCAGCGACACUAUGUGUUGUUGGGUAGGGGAGCGUUCUGUAAGCCUGUGAAGGUGUACUGUGAGGUAUGCUGGAGGUAUCAGAAGUGCGAAUGCUGACAUAAGUAACGAUAAAGCGGGUGAAAAGCCCGCUCGCCGGAAGACCAAGGGUUCCUGUCCAACGUUAAUCGGGGCAGGGUGAGUCGACCCCUAAGGCGAGGCCGAAAGGCGUAGUCGAUGGGAAACAGGUUAAUAUUCCUGUACUUGGUGUUACUGCGAAGGGGGGACGGAGAAGGCUAUGUUGGCCGGGCGACGGUUGUCCCGGUUUAAGCGUGUAGGCUGGUUUUCCAGGCAAAUCCGGAAAAUCAAGGCUGAGGCGUGAUGACGAGGCACUACGGUGCUGAAGCAACAAAUGCCCUGCUUCCAGGAAAAGCCUCUAAGCAUCAGGUAACAUCAAAUCGUACCCCAAACCGACACAGGUGGUCAGGUAGAGAAUACCAAGGCGCUUGAGAGAACUCGGGUGAAGGAACUAGGCAAAAUGGUGCCGUAACUUCGGGAGAAGGCACGCUGAUAUGUAGGUGAAG